rnacentral:rRNA from 1 species
GACGAACGCUGGCGGCGUGCCUAAUACAUGCAAGUCGAACGCAGGGGGGACGGGUGAGUAACACGUGGGUAACCUCCCAUCAGAGGGGAUAACACGUGGAAACAGGUGCUAAACCGAUACUGAUGGAUGGACCCGCGGUGCAUUAGCUAGUUGGUGAGGUAACGACUCAGCAAGGCCACGAGGCAUAGCCGACUUGAGAGGGAGAUCGGCCAAACUGGGAACUAGACAAGGGCCAGACUCCUACGGGAGGCAGCAGGAGGGAAUCUUCGGGAAUGGACGAAAGCCCGACCGAGCAACUCCGCGUGAGUGAAGAAGGUUUUCGGAUCGUAAAACUCCGUUGUUAGAGAAGCGGUAUCUAACCAGAAAGCCACGGCUAACUACGUGCCAGCAGCCGCGGUAAUUC